UUGCCCUAGUAACGGCGAGUGAAGCGGCAACAGCUCAAAUUUGAAAUCUGGCUUCGGCCCGAGUUGUAAUUUGCAGAGGAAGCUUUAGGCGCGGCACCUUCUGAGUCCCCUGGAACGGGGCGCCAUAGAGGGUGAGAGCCCCGUAUAGUUGGAUGCCUAGCCUGUGUAAAGCUCCUUCGACGAGUCGAGUAGUUUGGGAAUGCUGCUCAAAAUGGGAGGUAAAUUUCUUCUAAAGCUAAAUACCGGCCAGAGACCGAUAGCGCACAAGUAGAGUGAUCGAAAGAUGAAAAGCACUUUGAAAAGAGGGUUAAAUAGCACGUGAAAUUGUUGAAAGGGAAGCGCUUGUGACCAGACUUGCGCCGGGCAGAUCAUCCGGUGUUCUCACCGGUGCACUCUGCCCGGCUCAGGCCAGCAUCGGUUCUCGCGGGGGGAUAAAGGCCCUGGGAACGUAGCUCCUCCGGGAGUGUUAUAGCCCGGGGCGUAAUGCCCUCGCGGGGACCGAGGUUCGCGCAUCUGCAAGGAUGCUGGCGUAAUGGUCAUCAGCGACCCGUCUUGAAACACGGACCAAGGAGUCAAGGUUUUGCGCGAGUGUUUGGGUGUAAAACCCGCACGCGUAAUGAAAGUGAACGUAGGUGAGAGCUUCGGCGCAUCAUCGACCGAUCCUGAUGUUUUCGGAUGGAUUUGAGUAGGAGCGUUAAGCCUUGGACCCGAAAGAUGGUGAACUAUGCUUGGAUAGGGUGAAGCCAGAGGAAACUCUGGUGGAGGCUCGCAGCGGUUCUGACGUGCAAAUCGAUCGUCAAAUCUGAGCAUGGGGGCGAAAGACUAAUCG
rnacentral:rRNA from 1 species